UACGUAGGCAGCGAGCGUUGUUCGGAGUUACUGGGCGUAAAGGGUGCGUAGGCGGUUGUUUAAGUUUGGUGUGAAAUCUCCCGGCUCAACUGGGAGGGUGCGCCGAAUACUGAAUAACUAGAGUGCGGGAGAGGAGAGUGGAAUUCCUGGUGUAGCGGUGAAAUGCGUAGAUAUCAGGAGGAACACCGGUGGUGUAGACGGCUUUCUGGACCGUAACUGACGCUGAGACACGAAAGCGUGGGUAGCAAACAGG
rnacentral:rRNA from 1 species